rnacentral:rRNA from 1 species
AGAGUUUGAUCCUGGCUCAGAGCGAACGCUGGCGGCAGGCCUAACACAUGCAAGUCGAGCGCCCCGCAAGGGGAGCGGCAGACGGGAGAGUAACACGUGGGAACGUACCCUUCAGUUCGGAACAACCCAGGGAAACUUGGGCUAAUACCGAAUACGUCCGUAAGGAGAAAGAUUUAUCGCUGAAGGAUCGGCCCGCGUCUGAUUAGCUUGUUGGUGAGGUAACGGCUCACCAAGGCGACGAUCAGUAGCUGGUCUGAGAGGAUGAUCAGCCUCACUGGGACUGAGACACGGCCCAGACUCCUACGGGAGGCAGCAGUGGGGAAUAUUGGACAAUGGGCGCAAGCCUGAUCCAGCCAUGCCGCGUGGGUGAUGAAGGCCCUAGGGUUG